GUGGGAGCACUGAUGCAGGCUUACAAGCAGGCAUCCAGCCACACUGGCAGGUGCAAGAUGCCCCAGGAGUGGUCCAUGUUCCUGAGCCUGCUGUGGGUCUCACUGGCAUCCUGCACGCUGCCUCAGAGAGGUUCUCGUCAGCAAGCCUUGGAGAUCCUGUCUGAGCCUGCUGCCAGCUGCCCUGCCACCUCCUCACCAUAUUAAUGAUGGACUAAUGGUGCCAUUGGGAUAAGGCCUGCAGUCCCUCCAGUCCCUUGAAGUAAUCACUAACAGCACUUUGCUGCAAGGUUCUUCUCCCCUUUUUCAUGUAGUAAAGGAUAAAGUGGAUCUCAGGUGUAUUUGAAAAAUCUCUAGCUGGGCAGCAAACCAGCUGAGAUUUUAUGGGUCCUAAGAAAGGGAAGGUUCACCUAGCAUUCCUCUAGCAGGGCUGGGAUUUAUCAACAUAACAACAAGAUGAAUCAAGAUAAUAAGAAGCAGAAUUCUCCAAGGGUACUUUCAGUGUAUCUUAGAAAAGUACUGUUUUGAAAUAGUUGCAGCUUUACAAAGAGAACUACUCCUAUAGGAGACAACAAUAUAGGUACACAAAUAAUGCCUUUUGCUUCUUUUUUUUUUAGUCAGCAGACAGCAACAUUUCUCACCCCUUACUCAGAACAACCCACUUUGCAAGUAGAAAGAUCACUCAUCCUACAGACAGAUUAAAUACUCUGUGUUCAAGAUGACAGACAUUUAAAAAUGUCAAAGAGCGUGUCUUCAUCACCUGGCCAGCUGUUGAAGUAAGAGCAGUGAUGGUUAACUCUCAGCCUCAAACCCAGAGAUAAAGCAUUUCCUCCAGCUGCCCAGUCACAGCAUCUGCAGUCACUAAUGAAAAGCAGCUCUCCACCCAGCACAAUUGUACACACAGCCUGUGGGGCAUUUCCAUGACGACACCAGCUGCAAAUGGAACAAUCAAACCUUUCAAUGCAGGAAAAAAUACCUAAUGUUACCAGGUUGAUCUUACAGCACAAACAUUUUUCUCGUCUGCCUUGCAAGACAGGUAUUUUUGUCAGUGUCUGGUAUCUGCACAGAGCCAAGCACAUCAGCUCCAAAUAACGUUAGCUACUGGCCUCCAGGAGCUAAAUGUAAGCCUUCAGUUUGCCACCUUUUCUACAGAUUGCAGCUGUAAAACACAGUUAAGUGGGAGAUGGAAUGCUAAAAUAGAGAAAGUAGCAAAAGCUUGUGAAUCGCAACUUAGAACAACUUAUUAUUUAAACAGUUCAGUCCAGAAUCAGUUUCUUACAAAACAAGAGCAAAAGUAUGCCUGUGUCCCCUUUUCCUCAUUCACCUGUAGAAAUCAGUCAAGUCUUGAAGAAAACACACACCCAUCCACCCCAUCUCCCUGAGAAGUCAGGGUUAAUCCCUAGCAGUCAGCACAAGCUUCACCCUCCACUGACAGAAGAAGAACAUGCCAUGGAGAAGGUCCUAAUAUUCAGCACAAGUCCAGAGAUGAGAGUGCAGAGGCAGACGUGCCUAAAAGGCAAUGCACACUUACUGGCACACAGCUACAUUACUUAGCUUCAAGGCGGUAACCUCCUCUUUUCCCUCCUCUUCUCCACCUUCACAAAGCAUCAAGAUCUGUUUGGAUCUUUUUUCCUCAUGGCCAAACGGAAUACCCAAGAGCCAGUCUGUGAGUGAUCCAAGUAAUGGCCCAAUUUGCCAAUGAACAAACUCUAGAAAUACAGACUUUUGGAAAUGGAAAACUGCAGCUGCUGCUGAGUUGCUUUUCUCAAGAGUUCUGCCCUGGGGACAGACAACCAUUAUCUGCUUUUUAAACAAAACAACUGUGGAAGCUGACAUGCUGAAACACAGCAGAAUGAUACUUGCCCAUGUCCAUUCAGUCAUCAACAAAACCAGGACUGCAAACCCUGCAGGCUGCCAGGUGUGUGCUGCACAUCUGUCACACUGUCAGACUGCCUUCUCAUCCUUUGAGAUGAAGAUACAGAGAUACAGAAAACUUCAAAUCUUUUAUUUUCAAAAAAUAAAAAAAUAAUACAUGA